AGCAAUAACGAAACGAGAACUAAUGGUUAGUCUGUUGCUCAACAUGGAAGAUUAAAAAUGCUUACCUAAUGUGGUGACUUUCAGCUUCCCAAAUAAGAGAUUGCAAUGAGUCGGAGGCAGAUGAGAUAUGAGUAAAGAACGUACAGGUGGUUCAUUGCAGUUUCGUUUAUAGGACUGGUCUUCAGUGUUGUUUAAGUGGUCUUGUUUGGUUAGUAAUUCUGAAACACUUCGAGCUCUCACAAAAACUAUUUUUAAAUGCCAAAGACAUUACUAGUCGUGUUAUCAUAGAGGUAGUGUUAUUUUCCAAUGAUGCAGAAUCCUUGUUAAACCAUCACCAAAAACCAUGACCACAUUUGCAAAGGCCGGUAAUCAGUAGAGCAUGUAUUGAAUAGUGGAGAUAACUGGUAAGCAGUGUAACGCGGCGCCAUCUAAAGGGAGUUCCGAAUGUUUGUGAGUUUGUUUCGGUGUUUCAGAAGGGAGGUCCGGUCGAGCCGCCUCUGUGUCUCGCGCUCAGUUCCCGUCUGGUGGUUGAGCGGUGUGGUGUGGACAUGGGUUAGUAUGUGCGCAAGAGCUGCAUUUGUAGAAGGAUGAAUCCGGAAUCGGGCUUAUGAAGGAGUGUAUCGGAAUCCAUGAGAAGAGAAGCCUUGCCCGGAUGUCUCGGUCUAGAAAUAGUCUAUAUCGUAUCCUGAGCGGGAAAGAGAUGAUGCCAGAGAUGUUAUUUUCAACGCACGCUGUAGUUCGAUUGAAAGGAUGCUGGCACCGCGUUCCUUGCGCAUCGUAGAUGGCGAACACAAGGGGCCGUGCGAGGAGUGUGUGAACCCCCUCCAAUUCAUCUUGUGCACGCAAUGACACGUGCAUUAAAGGGAAUACCAUCAGUCAUUAUCAAAUACGUCCUCAAAUAAAAAUCAACCACCAAUCCUUGUAGGAAUGUUGAUGCUUAACCUGCAUUUUCAGGACCUCACACCGUGAUGCAUUCCCCUCCACGAGAAAUAUUCUUUUGUAUUUAGCCUCCACCCGCUUAGCCUGAGAGGUCAGGGCUCAUCGCGCCACUACAAGGUUCUUCCCGCCCUUGAACCAUACAUGGUCAAUGACUAAAAACUGCCCACAGCAUGGAGUGUUCAAGACGAAAGUGUCUGUCAGCCUUGGUUACUGCAUUUUUUAUUCCUCAAAUGCAUCAACCCAAUAAAUUAUUUGAACCAAUUUUGAAUGAGACCGAGAUAAACCAUCACUAAUACAGGUUCUAAUAAAUAAUUAACAAGCAAUGCAGAAAUAAAUGGGAUAGUCCACAAUACAUUCAAACUGUUUAAUAACCUGUAUCAGGAGUGGUUCAUUUAAGACUAUUUACCUGCCAUUGUUCGUUUUCAGUAACUAUUUCUAUAAAAUCAUUUUCUCCAUAA